CAGUCGCCACGGGAAUACGUAGGUGGCGAGCGUUGUCCGGAAUUAUUGGGCGUAAAGGGAGCGCAGGCGGACAUAUAAGUCCAUCUUAAAAGUGCGGGGCUCAACCCCGUGAGGGGAUGGAAACUGUAUGCCUUGAGUGCAGGAGAGGAAAGCGGAAUUCCCAGUGUAGCGGUGAAAUGCGUAGAUAUUGGGAGGAACACCAGUGGCGAAGGCGGCUUUCUGGACUGUAACUGACGCUGAGGCUCGAAAGCCAGGGGAGCGAACGGGAUUAGAUACCCCCGUAGUCCCUGUCUCUUAUACA
rnacentral:rRNA from 1 species